GAGUUAUCUGAACCUUCGGGGAACGAUAACGGCGUCGAGCGGCGGACGGGUGAGUAAUGCCUAGGAAAUUGCCCUGAUGUGGGGGAUAACCAUUGGAAACGAUGGCUAAUACCGCAUGAUGCCUACGGGCCAAAGAGGGGGACCUUCGGGCCUCUCGCGUCAGGAUAUGCCUAGGUGGGAUUAGCUAGUUGGUGAGGUAAGGGCUCACCAAGGCGACGAUCCCUAGCUGGUCUGAGAGGAUGAUCAGCCACACUGGAACUGAGACACGGUCCAGACUCCUACGGGAGGCAGCAGUGGGGAAUAUUGCACAAUGGGCGCAAGCCUGAUGCAGCCAUGCCGCGUGUGUGAAGAAGGCCUUCGGGUUGUAAAGCACUUUCAGUCGUGAGGAAGGUAGUGUAGUUAAUAGCUGCAUUAUUUGACGUUAGCGACAGAAGAAGCACCGGCUAACUCCGUGCCAGCAGCCGCGGUAAUACGGAGGGUGCGAGCGUUAAUCGGAAUUACUGGGCGUAAAGCGCAUGCAGGUGGUUUGUUAAGUCAGAUGUGAAAGCCCGGGGCUCAACCUCGGAAUUGCAUUUGAAACUGGCAGACUAGAGUACUGUAGAGGGGGGUAGAAUUUCAGGUGUAGCGGUGAAAUGCGUAGAGAUCUGAAGGAAUACCGGUGGCGAAGGCGGCCCCCUGGACAGAUACUGACACUCAGAUGCGAAAGCGUGGGGAGCAAACAGGAUUAGAUACCCUGGUAGUCCACGCCGUAAACGAUGUCUACUUGGAGGUUGUGGCCUUGAGCCGUGGCUUUCGGAGCUAACGCGUUAAGUAGACCGCCUGGGGAGUACGGUCGCAAGAUUAAAACUCAAAUGAAUUGACGGGGGCCCGCACAAGCGGGGGAGCAUGUGGUUUAAUUCGAUGCAACGCGAAGAACCUUACCUACUCUUGACAUCCAGAGAACUUUCCAGAGAUGGAUUGGUGCCUUCGGGAACUCUGAGACAGGUGCUGCAUGGCUGUCGUCAGCUCGUGUUGUGAAAUGUUGGGUUAAGUCCCGCAACGAGCGCAACCCUUAUCCUUGUUUGCCAGCGAGUAAUGUCGGGAACUCCAGGGAGACUGCCGGUGAUAAACCGGAGGAAGGUGGGGACGACGUCAAGUCAUCAUGGCCCUUACGAGUAGGGCUACACACGUGCUACAAUGGCGCAUACAGAGGGCGGCCAACUUGCGAAAGUGAGCGAAUCCCAAAAAGUGCGUCGUAGUCCGGAUUGGAGUCUGCAACUCGACUCCAUGAAGUCGGAAUCGCUAGUAAUCGUGGAUCAGAAUGCCACGGUGAAUACGUUCCCGGGCCUUGUAC
rnacentral:rRNA from 1 species